AUAGGCUGUACAGGAAGCAUGGCUGGGCACGUCUCAGGAAACAGAGAGACAGGGAGGUGCCACAUACUUUUAAACAGCCAGAUGUCAUAAGAACUCAGUCACUGUAACGAGAACAGCAAGGGGGAAAUUCGCUCCGAUGAUCCAGUCACCUCUCACCAGGCCCCUCCUCCAACACUGGGGUUUACAAUUGGAAAUUUUCUCAGGGACACAAAUCCAAGACAUAUCACAUUCCUGUGCCACCCCCAUCAUGUGUCUCUAAAGACCCCAGACUCAGUCAGUAGAGGGGAGAUGGCCUGACUUUGGGGAGGAGACAGCCUGACUUCAGGGAAGAAAUGGCCUGACUUCGGGACAAAGACCUCCUGACUUCAGGGGAAGACAACGAGCGGCCCUUCCCAUCCCCUCUCCAACUCCCCUCUCCGCUGAGAGCUGUUUUCAUCACUCAAUAAAAUUCUCUGCCCCCACCGUCCUUCAAUCGGCAAGUGUGACCUCAUUCUUCUUGGACGCUGGAUAAGAGCUCAGGCCCCACCAAGUGUGGGUACCCAGAAGGGUUGUCACACUGGCCCUUUGCCCUCGCUGGCAGAGUGCAGCCACCCCACGCAACAGGGCCAGGGGCCGACUGAGCCGCUAACAAUCUGUGGUCCAUCAGGCUGUGGGCAGCAGAACUAAAAGAGCUAAUUAGCACAUGAACACAGCCUCUGGGGCUUCAGGGUCACAGGCACCCUUGUCUGGGUGCCACGGCAUUCC
rnacentral:lncRNA from 10 species